GAACGCACAUUGCACCCUCUGGUAUUCCGGGAGGGUAUGCCUGUUUGAGUGUCAUUAAUAUAUCAACACAGACAAGUUUUUCAUGACUUGAUCUGCUGCUUGGAUGUUGAAGGCUUGCUGGCAUUGACAUUUUCUGUCAGCUCCUUUUAAAUUCAUUAGCAGGAACAUUGCAGGACUGGCUUCAGUUUGAUAAGAUUGAACUGUUGCCGGAAUGCGCUUUUGUUGUUCCAGCUUCUAGUUGUCUGGUAAAACCGGA
rnacentral:misc_RNA from 1 species